GAUUAGCUCAGCUGGGAGAGCACCUGCCUUACAAGCAGGGGGUCGUAGGUUCGAGCCCUGCAUC
rnacentral:tRNA from 1 species